CCCCCCGCACACCCCACCCAGACUCUGCCUCUGGAGCCAGGGUCCCUCCCUGCUCCGGCCCCGAAAGAUCCUUCAGGAAACGGAGGAAGUAUGGACACACAGCCCAGGCAUUUGGGGGUACAGGCAAAGGAAUGCUCCAGCACGGAAGCAACCAGCUUGGGGAGCGUCUCCUGUUAGCUGGGCUCGUGGCAAAGACUCUACCCCAAAUCCUGCUGCUUCUGAACAUAUCUGCAAAAGGGAAGAGGCCAGUUUCACGAUUAUCUUUUCACCGAGAGGAAGAUGGGGCAUGAGCAGUCAUGUGCCACAGGCUAUGUGAAGGGGACUCCUGUCUAAUUGUUGCGACUCCAGCGAUGCAAGGGUCGCCUGGCCGCCCGCCGGGUGUGGAACUGGACGGCGGGCUGGCUGUUCAGGAAGGACGCGGCCUACUGUCUACGGAGGCCUUUUAGAUAUUACCAUAGGAGCCCCAUCUGGAGUAUACAGUUGACGAGUCUAUCCACAAAUUACCCGAAAGAUGGUAAG